GGCCUCGUAGCUCAGCUGGUAGAGCGUGCGCUAUACAAAAGCGUAUGCGGCGUCCAUACGUGGGUUCGAAUCCCACCGAGGCUA
rfam:Echinostoma caproni strain Egypt genome assembly, scaffold: ECPE_scaffold0006784